GCGGAAAGGGCCCGGCGGGGUGCAGGGUUAGGGCUUACCCCGGGCAGUCCUGGAGGGUCGGGGCACUAUGGGUACCACUUUCUUGAAACGGAGGUGAGCUCCUGGGGCCUGACAACCCCUACCCGGUGCCUCCUAGCCCGCCCUGCGUGGGAAACCGGCCUGAAGGUGGGAGGCUCAAAGGGGAAGUUUGUGUUAGAGAAAAAUUUGCAGUUCUGCGGAGUGGAAUGGGGUGGGAAGAGAAACCGUGGGGAGGCCGAGAAACAGGAAAUGAGAGCUAAGGAGCAAAUUGGAGCCAGGAAAAGCCAGCUUCUACAUCUGUGUGGCAGCGUGGCAUUUGCUGAGCACUUAAGGCCCAGGUGCGCUGUUAAUGAAAACAAAGGCGGGGCACCGGCUGGCCCAGCUCUGCCCUUGCCACGUUUUGUGAAGGAGGCGAAUGGGAAAGGUGGUCCAGCCAGAAGAGGACUGGCGCGGCCCUGUCCUAGUCAGGACAGGAUGAAUCAGCGGCCGGCCGGAGUCCUCUUCUCAGAGAAACAGGAUUGAGAGAGACAGUGUGUCCCUGUGUUAAGGUUUCGAAGAAGAACAAAUGAGAUAAGUGUGAAAGUGUCUGAAAUGUGUGCGGCACGCUCUUCCAGAGAAGUAGCUCUAAAUGAGAAAGCAGUGGGAGCAGGGAGGUAUGAGACUCGGGUCCCCAGGAAGGAAAUGGGACCUAGAGGCUAGAAGGUUCAUUCACUGCUAGAAUGAGGGUCAAGGGUGUCUCUGUUCCAAGAAUUGGCAGCCGCGAAACUCCACCUGGUCUGAUCUUGGAAAGAAGCCCCUCUCCGCUCCCGUGCAUCCGGACAGAAAGAACGCUGCAAACUCAAGCUUGCAAUAUUGCAGAGUAUCAGCAAAUGUUCAAAAAAUCCUCUACUGGAAUCACUAAAAUUUUCCCGCACCUUUCAAAUUUAAACAAAGCCAUGUCUGUGACCGUGGUUUGGAGUUAUCUAUUAGAGUCUGGUGGGCUCAUUACAGGGUACAAAACUGGAGGCAAUGUGCCCCUCCCACCAAGAAAUGGACAAUCUUCUAUUAGUGAAGCAUGGAGUCUCUCCCCACUUUGGUGAGUAACGAGACAGAAAUGUUUUUUUUUUUAACUGUUGUGGGCACAUAUGGCAAAUUAUUUUUCAGAACUGUCUUACUAUUUUGCAGGGACACCAUCAUGCUUAGAGGGCCAUUUUCUCUUAUUCUUGCUAAUGGUGAAGUACUUAAAAACAAAACCAACCAGUCAAACAGACCCUUAAGGCAUUAAAGAAGAAUGGCUUGAGAUGACACCCUUUGAACUCUGGGAAGAUGAGUGAGACCAUCUUGAGACUGGGCUAUAAGGGACUGUUACUGCCACAGCCUGUUGAGAAGAUCACAGAGCUCUGAGGAAGAACGAAUCUGGCAGUAAAAUAAAGAUGAAGGUUGCAGCAGCCUCAAAGAUCUCUUAGAUCCACACCUAAUCCUCAGAAACUUGUUCUGGGGAAGGAGAGCUUGGACAAGAGAGAGAAGGAUCCAUCAGAUCCAUCGGAACUUUAGC
rnacentral:lncRNA from 1 species